GGGCCCGUAGCUCAGCUAGGUAGAGCGGCAGGCUCAUAACCUGUUGGUCCAGGGUUCGAAUCCCUGCGGGCCCA
rnacentral:tRNA from 1 species